rnacentral:rRNA from 1 species
UACGUAGGAGGCGAGCGUUGUCCGGAAUUACUGGGCGUAAAGCGUCCGCAGGCGGCUUGAUAAGUCGGGUGUGAAAGCCCGGGGCUCAACCCCGGAACUGCAUUCGAAACUGUCUGGCUUGAGUACGGGAGAGGGUCGUGGAAUUCCUGGUGUAGAGGUGAAAUGCGUAGAUAUCGGAAGGAACACCAGUGGCGAAAGCGGCUUCCUGGUCCGACACCGACGUUCAGGCACGAAAGCGUGGGGAGCAAACAGG